GCUUGUCUCAAAGAUUAAGCCAUGCAUGUCUAAGUAUAACUCUUUUACUUUGAAAACUGCGAACGGCUCAUUAUAUCAGUUAUAGUUUCUUUGAUAGUCCCUUACUACUUGGAUACCCGUAGUAAUUCUAGAGCUAAUACAUGCACAAAGGCCCGACUCACGAAGGGCUGUAUUUAUUAGAUUUAAAGCCGACAUCUUUUGGUGAUUCAUAAUAACUCGCGGAUCGGUUUACCGAUGCAUCAUUCAAGUUUCUGCCCUAUCAGCUUUGGAUGGUAGGGUAUUGGCCUACCAUGGCUUUAACGGGUAACGGAGAAUUAGGGUUCGAUUCCGGAGAGGGAGCCUGAGAAAUGGCUACCACAUCCAAGGAAGGCAGCAGG
rnacentral:rRNA from 1 species